rnacentral:rRNA from 1 species
UACAGAGGGUGCGAGCGUUAAUCGGAUUUACUGGGCGUAAAGCGUGCGUAGGUGGCUUAUUAAGUCGGAUGUGAAAUCCCCGAGCUUAACUUGGGAAUUGCAUUCGAUACUGGUGAGCUAGAGUAUGGAGAGGAUGGUAGAAUUCCAGGUGUAGCGGUGAAAUGCGUAGAGAUCUGGAGGAAUACCGAUGGCGAAGGCAGCCAUCUGGCCUAAUACUGACGCUGAGGUACGAAAGCAUGGGGAGCAAACAGGAUUAGAUACCCAAGUAGUCC